rnacentral:rRNA from 1 species
CAGUGGGGAAUCUUGCACAAUGGGGGAAACCCUGAUGCAGCGACGCCGCGUGAGCGAUGAAGCCCUUCGGGGUGUAAAGCUCUUUCGGCAGGGAAGAUAGUGACGGUACCUGCAGAAGCAGCUGCGGCUAACUACGUGCCAGCAGCCGCGGUAAUACGUAGGCAGCAAGCGUUGUUCGGAGUUACUGGGCGUAAAGGGUGUGUAGGCGGUUCUUUAAGUUUGGUGUGAAAUCUCCCGGCUUAACCGGGAGGGUGCGCCGAAUACUGAGGGACUAGAGUACGGGAGAGGAAAGUGGAAUUCCUGGUGUAGCGGUGAAAUGCGUAGAUAUCAGGAGGAACACCGGUGGUGUAGACGGCUUUCUGGACCGUAACUGACGCUGAGACACGAAAGCGUGGGUAGCAAACAGGAUUAGAUACCCUGGUAGUCCACGCCCUAAACGAUGCAUAUUUGGUGUGGGCAGUUCAUUCUGUCCGUGCCGGAGCUAACGCGUUAAAUAUGCCGCCUGGGGAGUACAGUCGCAAGGCUGAAACUC